rnacentral:rRNA from 1 species
GUUGCUAGUGGUCUUUACUUCCUUAACAGAAUCUUUCAUCUCAUUAAUUUUGGGUGUUUGGGGCCUGUUUCUUUUACUUUGAGAAAAUUAGAGUGUUCAAAGCGGGUUUUCGCCUGGAUAUUACUCUUGGAAUAAUAAUAUAGGACUUUGGUUCUUUUUUGUUGGUGACUUAGAACCGAAGUAAUGAUUGAUAGGGACAGUUGGGGUCAUUCGUACUAUGAAGACGAGAGGUGAAAUUCAUGGACCUUUGUAUGACGAACUACUGCGAAAGCAUUUGACUAGGAUGUUCCCGUUGAUCAAGAACGAAAGUUGGGGGAUCGAAGACGAUCAGAUACCGUCGUAGUCUCAACCAUAAACUAUGCCAGCUAGGGAUUGGAGGAAGAUCAUUUUACGUCUCCUUCAGCACCUUAUGAGAAAUCAAGCAUUUGGGUUCCGGGGGGAGUAUGGUC